UCGCAGGCGGUUUUUUAAGUCUGAUGUGAAAGCCCACGGCUUAACCGUGGAGGGCCAUUGGAAACUGGAGGACUUGAGUGCAGAAGAGGAGAGUGGAAUUCCAUGUGUAGCGGUGAAAUGCGUAGAGAUAUGGAGGAACACCAGUGGCGAAGGCGACUCUCUGGUCUGUAACUGACGCUGAGGAGCGAAAGCGUGGGUAGCGAACAGGAUUAGAUACCCUGGUAGUCCACGCCGUAAACGAUGAGUGCUAGGUGUUAGGGGGUUUCCGCCCCUUAGUGCUGAAGUUAACGCAUUAAGCACUCCGCCUGGGGAGUACGGCCGCAAGGCUGAAACUCAAAAGAAUUGACGGGGACCCGCACAAGCGGUGGAGCAUGUGGUUUAAUUCGAAGCAACGCGAAGAACCUUACCAGGUCUUGACAUCCUUUCGACCUCCCUAGAGAUAGGGAUUUCCCUUAGGGGACGAAAGUGACAGGUGGUGCAUGGUUGUCGUCAGCUCGUGUCGUGAGAUGUUGGGUUAAGUCCCGCAACGAGCGCAACCCUUGAUCUUAGUUGCCAGCAUUAAGUUGGGCACUCUAAGGUGACUGCCGGUGACAAACCGGAGGAAGGUGGGGAUGACGUCAAAUCAUCAUGCCCCUUAUGACCUGGGCUACACACGUGCUACAAUGGAUGGUACAAAGGGUAGCAAAACCGUGAGGUCAAGCAAAUCCCAUAAAACCAUUCUCAGUUCGGAUUGUAGGCUGCAACUCGCCUACAUGAAGCC
rnacentral:rRNA from 1 species